ACCCUCACUAACACUAGAUUCUCCUAAAUGGCAAAACCCUAUCAGAGCCACCAUCACCAUCUCCAUCUCCCUUUUCAUUCUGUCCGAGCUCUCUUUAUUGCUACUUCUUUGCUCUUCACCGUUGGUCGUCGCCGCUUCUCCACUCGUCGUCGUGGGUCGUCACUGCUUCUCCCCUUCUUGCCGUGUGUCGUUUUUGCUUCUCACCUCCUCGUCGUUUUUUGCUGUGGCCCCUUCUCGUCUCCCCGCCAUUCUUGUCAUCACUGCUUUUCUGCUCUGCAUCGUGUCUCACCAUCAUUGCUUCUCUAUUUCAUGUUACCAAAAUUCCCAAUUUGAAUUUCUCUGUCUUGCUGGCUCUAUGCUGUCUUUUCCUCUCCUUCACUGGCAAUCCAGAUAACUGACGGUGGAUAAGAAUGGCUUUGUCUACUUCCGGGGAUUUGGCAGUUAUGGAAGGUUUGUGCAUAAUUUUCAGAUUGGUUGUCAAUGUUCUGUAAAAUACAAAGAAAUCACAACAAUCAGAUGAUUCAAUUCAAAUUGGUUUUAUUUAUUUGUUUGGCUGGUUCUAUGAAUUCUGCGUGUACUGCAGGUAUGCUUGACAUAAAUUCAAUUCCCUUCCUUGUCUUAUAUAUAUACACACACACACACUUAAAGAUAUGUCUAAAGUCUAAACAAAUUUAUUGCAUAAAGAACUUGAUCUUUGCAUAAAAUACUUGAGAUUUCUGUAUUUUAGAGUCUGAGUAGUGAGAGUGUGAAAGGAAAUAGGAUAUUGACCAGUAUGAACGCUUGGAUGGAGAUAGAAAUAUAACCAGUAGACUUCUUGCAGUUAAGCAAUAUACUAGGACAGCAGAGAGGGAAGCAAGCUUGAUUCUACCAAUGCCUAUAAUGCAGAAGACAAUUGAUUAUCUACUUUUUCUGCUAGAUCAGCCCUAUGUUGAGAGGUUUCUUAGUGCUAUAUAUUCUUGUGGAAUAGGAUGAGAGCAAUUAGAAUGGACCUGAAAAUGCAGCACAUCUUCUAUCAAAGGGCUAUUCUAUGCUUGAACUGAUGAUCCAAUUACACAUCAUUGCAAUGCAUGAAUUAUGUGAAUACACAAUGAGAAGGAUUUUCUACGGGCUUUGAUGCUCACUUCAAUAUUGAACAUAUGAACAUAACUUCGGUUGAAUUGUUUCAGAUGUAUGAGGAUCACAGAAAGAAAGGAAUAUGUGUGCCUACCGAAAAAGAGUUUCGAGGCUAUUAUGCUCUCCUUAAAUUGGAUAAGCAUCUUGGUUAUAAAUUAUCCUAGGUUGAACCUGCAGAGCUAUUCCUUAAUCUUGCUAAGAUGACUCUAGAGACAAGGUAGACUCCAGAAGUUCUACUUGCCUGUGAUGUAGCAAGGUUUGUAAUUUCAAAUGGAAAUUAAAUUAGCUACUUUUUUACCUUACUUAGCUUGAUUAUUAUUAGGGGCAUAGUGAUUUCAUUUGAUUUUUACUUUAGCUUGA